ACCAAACUCAGGGUGUAUUCACACUUGGUCUUUUUCAGCCCUCAAAGUGAACUAAGAACAGUGACUCAUAUAUGAACACCUCAAGCAAACUCAGACCCAUUUGAAAUGAACCAAACUUUUUUUUGCCUUUGUCAUUUAAGGUUGCAAAUGCAGUCGACAGACAAUUUAUCCAUACGAUAAAAUAUUGGGAAGACGGAUGAAUGGGGGGAAGGCAGCAGAGGUCAAAGUGCACUGGCUACCUUGCUCUUCCUGUGGCAGAGUCUGGGAGGACACCUGGGAGCCGGCCAGCAAAUUCGCCUGAUGACCAAUACUGUUGUACUAUUUGUUUUGUAUAUAUUUGUCAAUAAUUAAAUUCACC